rnacentral:rRNA from 1 species
UGAACGCUAGCUACAGGCUUAACACAUGCAAGUCGAGGGGCAGCAUGGUCUUAGCUUGCUAAGGCCGAUGGCGACCGGCGCACGGGUGAGUAACACGUAUCCAACCUGCCGUCUACUCUUGGACAGCCUUCUGAAAGGAAGAUUAAUACAAGAUGGCAUCAUGAGUCCACAUGUUCACAUGAUUAAAGGUAUUCCGGUAGACGAUGGGGAUGCGUUCCAUUAGAUAGUAGGCGGGGUAACGGCCCACCUAGUCUUCGAUGGAUAGGGGUUCUGAGAGGAAGGUCCCCCACAUUGGAACUGAGACACGGUCCAAACUCCUACGGGAGGCAGCAGUGAGGAAUAUUGGUCAAUGGGCGAGAGCCUGAACCAGCCAAGUAGCGUGAAGGAUGACUGCCCUAUGGGUUGUAAACUUCUUUUAUAAAGGAAUAAAGUCGGGUAUGCAUACCCGUUUGCAUGUACUUUAUGAAUAAGGAUCGGCUAACUCCGUGCCAGCAGCCGCGGUAAUACGGAGGAUCCGAGCGUUAUCCGGAUUUAUUGGGUUUAAAGGGAGCGUAGAUGGAUGUUUAAGUCAGUUGUGAAAGUUUGCGGCUCAACCGUAAAAUUGCAGUUGAUACUGGAUAUCUUGAGUGCAGUUGAGGCAGGCGGAAUUCGUGGUGUAGCGGUGAAAUGCUUAGAUAUCACGAAGAACUCCGAUUGCGAAGGCAGCCUGCUAAGCUGCAACUGACAUUGAGGCUCGAAAGUGUGGGUAUCAAACAGGAUUAGAUACCCUGGUAGUCCACACGGUAAACGAUGAAUACUCGCUGUUUGCGAUAUACUGCAAGCGGCCAAGCGAAAGCGUUAAGUAUUCCACCUGGGGAGUACGCCGGCAACGGUGAAACUCAAAGGAAUUGACGGGGGCCCGCACAAGCGGAGGAACAUGUGGUUUAAUUCGAUGAUACGCGAGGAACCUUACCCGGGCUUAAAUUGCAGAUGAAUUACGGUGAAAGCCGUAAGCCGCAAGGCAUCUGUGAAGGUGCUGCAUGGUUGUCGUCAGCUCGUGCCGUGAGGUGUCGGCUUAAGUGCCAUAACGAGCGCAACCCUUGUUGUCAGUUACUAACAGGUUCUGCUGAGGACUCUGACAAGACUGCCAUCGUAAGAUGUGAGGAAGGUGGGGAUGACGUCAAAUCAGCACGGCCCUUACGUCCGGGGCUACACACGUGUUACAAUGGGGGGUACAGAGGGCCGCUACCACGCGAGUGGAUGCCAAUCCCAAAAACCUCUCUCAGUUCGGACUGGAGUCUGCAACCCGACUCCACGAAGCUGGAUUCGCUAGUAAUCGCGCAUCAGCCACGGCGCGGUGAAUACGUUCCCGGGCCUUGUACACACCGCCCGUCAAGCCAUGGGAGCCGGGGGUACA